CAAGAGGGUGAGUAAAUUAUUUGUAAAUUUUUGUUCUGGAAGUGAACUUCUCCUUUAUGUCCAGAACCACCUCGACUCCAACACAGAAUAUGAAAGGUGCCAGAGAGAAGCCUGCAGUUUUGGAUCUGGUGUAAUUAUUCCUUCAGUAAAGGUAGAGUAUUAACCCAGGAGCUGAAGGUGGACGUGGACUUUCCUGGAGAUGAUUUUCUACAGAUUUACUCCCCAGACGUCCAGCACUGUCAGCUCGCCUGCACACAACACCCUUCCUGCUUAUUCU